rnacentral:rRNA from 1 species
GAUGAACGCUGGCGGUAUGCUUAACACAUGCAAGUCGAACGGACUCUUCGGAGUUAGUGGCGGACGGGUGAGUAACGCGUGAGAAUCUGGCUUUGGGUUCGGGACAACCACUGGAAACGGUGGCUAAUACCGGAUGUGCCGAGAGGUAAAAGAGAAAUUGCCUGAAGAUGAGCUCGCGUCUGAUUAGCUAGUUGGUGAGGUAAAGGCUCACCAAGGCAGCGAUCAGUAGCUGGUUUGAGAGGAUGACCAGCCACACUGGGACUGAGACACGGCCCAGACUCCUACGGGAGGCGGCAGUGGGGAAUUUUCCGCAAUGGGCGAAAGCCUGACGGAGCAAUACCGCGUGAGGGAAGAAGGCUCUUGGGUUGUAAACCUCUUUUCUUAGGGAAGAACAAAAUGACGGUACCUAAGGAAUCAGCAUCGGCUAACUCCGUG